rfam:Gossypium arboreum cultivar AKA8401 contig_4076_5, whole genome shotgun sequence.
AACCCAUGGUGAAUGCACAUUCUCAAUAAAUCUUUAUACAUCUCUCAUGCAUCAUAUAAGGUCUCUAAAUCCAUUUACAGGAAGGAAGAGAUAUCAUUCAUCGGCU